GCGUGGGUCGGCCCGCUGGGCGGGAACCAGCGGGCUGGGGGACACCGUCGCCUCAUUCCCCGCGGGCGGCGGACCGGACCGGGGGGCGAGCAGCGCCCCCCGGACCGGA
rnacentral:ncRNA from 1 species